CACCGUCAGCUGGGCUGCCACCACAACAGAGACACUGGAUGACGUUCUAAAACUGUUGGAUAACUUGUUUCACAAUUACUUUAUGUUACCUUGAGAAAAUGCUGUUGUCUAAGUCACAACAUUGAGCUGUAUAUGUAGGCAUCCUGUACAGUAAUACAAUGUCUUUGUCUUCCUGCCACAGGGGGGACAGAACAUCUUUAUGACUGGCUGCCCUGCACAAUGUGGUUGCUCUCUGCAAAUUGAAACGAAAAGAAAACUGUGUCAUAAUCCCAGAAUAUUAUUGUUUUUUGAAGUGUUAUUAAUUUAAAUAACUUGAUUUGACAACAAAAAAAUGCGGACGAUACAGAUCUUGCUUCUUGCCUUGUUGCCUUCUAUUAUUUGUAUAAAGGUACAGUCAUUAACA